GCGGAUUUUCCCCCGUCUUCGUGGGAAAGCGGUGUGUAAAUCCAAACAGAUUUUUAUCCGACUAGCUCAGCUGGUGUAAUACUAUUAAAACAUAUUUGAAUUUUUCAGCCGCAGCACGGCCAACUAUUUUCAAAUUAUCCAAGUGUUUCUAAUUACAAAUACUGAAUCUGAUAAAACCUGGUAAGAUGCUGAGCCCAGGGGCUGAUCCUGUAGCCUGUUCUGUGUGAGGGAUUCAGCCACAGGGAGGCGCAAAGUAAAGAAGAAAUUUUAAGAUUUGACUGCUCCUAAAUUGUGUUUUUCCAAUUAUGAUGGCAGAUGCAUUGGUGUAUUUGGAUAAAACACAGCAAGCAUAGUAAUAUAUGACCAAUCUCUUGGGUUUUUUUUCGCCACCAAAAGAGGAAAAAAAAAAAAAGGAUAGUAAGACUAAAGGAUCGUCUGGCACAUUUCUACUGAGAUGAUUAAAAAAAAAUUAAAUCUGUGACAUUACUUACACAACCUGUUAAACCCUAAAGCAAACAAUUUUGUCCCAUAGCUAAUUAUCCACAGAAUACAAAAUUUUGAAUGAGUCAAUAGUCACAACUAUAAUGCAUUAUAUUACUAAAUUUGAUUUUAAAAAUAGUUGUGAAUUACUGUGAUACUAUGUAUUACAGUAGCAAUGACUAGAUGACUUGCAGUGUCACCUGUUCUCUGAAGCCAAAUUUAAUAUUGUGCUGGCUCCAGAGGUUGUUGGAUUAGCUGUGCAUCUCAAACUUGUUCCUGUAAGGAGCUGGGAUUUUCUGUCUUGCUGGUUUGAGAGGUUUUUCCAACAUACCCUUUUCAAUCUCCUCCUUCAAGUCACCUCCAUGGAACUGCUAUUGUUGUAGGAAGGAAGGCUGAUAGUUCUUUUUGGAGGUUUUCACAUGUUUGGAUAGAGCUGUUCUGUGGCUCUGAAGGCUGCUGUGAAGUAUCCUAAAUUUUCAUGGCUUGAGGGAGAAGAGACCUGCUUUGACUUUAAAUAUAUUCACUCUCCAAAAUGACCUGAUAAAAGUAUUGAUCAUUUACAUUCUCUGCCCUAACCCUACACAUUCAUCCUGUACUGGUUGGAUGUGAGACAACAAGAACAUUCUGCAAUUGUUUCCUUCCUUCUUUUGCAGGAGAAGUGUUAACACAUUCUCAAAACAUACCCUCACGAUUUUUCCAUGCAAAUAAUCAAGCACGAUAAACAUCAGCAGAGGGCACUAU